UACGUAGGGUGCAAGCGUUGUCCGGAAUUAUUGGGCGUAAAGAGCUCGUAGGCGGUCUGUCGCGUCUGCUGUGAAAACUCAGGGCUUAACCCUGAGCUUGCAGUGGGUACGGGCAGACUAGAGUACUGCAGGGGAGACUGGAAUUCCUGGUGUAGCGGUGGAAUGCGCAGAUAUCAGGAGGAACACCGGUGGCGAAGGCGGGUCUCUGGGCAGUAACUGACGCUGAGAAGCGAAAGCGUGGGGAGCGAACAGG
rnacentral:rRNA from 1 species